rnacentral:rRNA from 1 species
AGAGUUAGAUCCUGGCUCAGAUUGAACGCUGGCGGCGUGCUUAACACAUGCAAGUCGAACGAGAACGGGUUAUAGCUUGCUAUAAUUGUCAGCUAAGUGGCGCACGGGUGAGUAAUAUAUAGGUAACAUGCCUUCGAGAAGGGGAUAACGUUUGGAAACGAACGCUAAUACCCUAUAUGCCUUUAAGUCUUAAGACUGCAAGGGAAAUAUUUAUAGCUCGAAGAUUGGCCUGUACGGUAUCAGCUUGUUGGUGAGGUAAUGGCUCACCAAGGCUAUGUCAUCUAACUGGUUUGAGAGGAUGAUCAGUCACACUGGAACUGAGACACGGUCCAGACUCCUACGGGAGGCAGCAGUGGGGAAUAUUGCACAAUGGACGAAAGUCUGAUGCAGCAACGCCGCGUGGAGGAUGACACAUUUCGGUGCGUAAACUCCUUUUAUAUGGGAAGAUAAUGACGGUACCAUAUGAAUAAGCACCGCUAACU